CGAUGUCCUUCUAGGUGUAAAUGACCAA
rnacentral:sRNA from 1 species